rnacentral:rRNA from 1 species
GGAGGAAAGCAGGGGAUCGCAAGACCUUGCGCUUUUGGAGCGGCCGAUGUCUGAUUAGCUAGUUGGUGAGGUAAAGGCUUACCAAGGCGUCGAUCAGUAGCUGGUCUGAGAGGACGACCAGCCACACUGGGACUGAGACACGGCCCAGACUCCUACGGGAGGCAGCAGUGGGGAAUUUUGGACAAUGGGGGAAACCCUGAUCCAGCCAUGCCGCGUGAGUGAAGAAGGCCUUCGGGUUGUAAAGCUCUUUCAGCCGGAACGAAACGGUCACGGUUAAUACCCGUGACUACUGACGGUACCGGAAGAAGAAGCACCGGCUAACUACGUGCCAGCAGCCGCGGUAAUACGUAGGGUGCGAGCGUUAAUCGGAAUUACUGGGCGUAAAGCGUGCGCAGGCGGUUUUGUAAGUCAGAUGUGAAAUCCCCGGGCUUAACCUGGGAACUGCGUUUGAAACUACAAGGCUAG